rnacentral:rRNA from 1 species
UACGUAGGGUGCGAGCGUUAAUCGGAAUUACUGGGCGUAAAGGGUGCGCAGGCGGUUAUAUAAGACAGAUGUGAAUCCCGGCUCAACCUGGGAACUGCGUUUGUGACUGUAUGACUAGAGUACGGUAGAGAGGGUGGAAUUCCGCGUGUAGCAGUGAAAUGCGUAGAUAUGCGGAGGAACACCGAUGGCGAAGGCAAUCCCUGGACCUGUACUGACGCUCAUGCACGAAAGGCGUGGGAAGCAACAGG